rnacentral:rRNA from 1 species
AUGUUGUUUAAUUCGAUGAUACGCGAAGAACCUUACCAGGUCUUGACAUCCCCGCGAUGCUUUAGAGAUAAAGCGGAGGUAUUCGGGGAGACAGGUGGUGCAUGGUUGUCGUCAGCUCGUGUCGUGAGAUGUUGGGUUAAGUCCCGCAACGAGCGCAACCCCUACGUUUAGUUGCUAACGCGUGAAGGCGAGCACUCUAGACGAACUGCCGUUGACAAAACGGAGGAAGGUGGGAUGACGUCAAAUCAUCAUGCCCCUUAUGUUCUGGGCUACACACGUGCUACAAUGGCCGGUACAGACGGAGGCGAAGCCGCGAGGCGGAGCAAAUCCGAAAAAGCCGGUCUCAGUUCGGAUUGCAGGCUGCAAUUCGCCUGCAUGAAGUCGGAAUCGCUAGUAAUCGCAGGUCAGCAUACUGCGGUGAAUACGUUCCCGGGCCUU